CACUUUGUCUUUAUGGCAAAUGUGAGAUGCAGUGUAUGGAAUGCCAAAUUUCUAGUUUGAGAAAUUAACGAUUUAAGUCCUUCUUAAAUGAGGCCAUUUACCCAUAGAGGGUGCCAGGCCCGUAUAACGUUAAUGAUAACUAGAUGGCAUUUCCAAAGAGUCGUGUUGCUUGAUAGUGCAGCACUAAGUGGGUGGUAAACUCCAUCUAAAACUAAAUAUAACCAUGAGACCGAUAGUAAACAAGUACCGUGAGGGAAAGUUGAAAAGAACUCUGAAUAGAGAGUUAAAUAGUACGUGAAACUGCUUAGAGGUUAAGCCCGAUGAACCUGAAUAUCCAUUAUAGAAAAUUCAUCAUUAUGAAUUUAAUAUUUACUAAUAUUAUAAUAAUAGUGUGCACUUUUUCUAUAGAGGACAUUGUAAUCUAUUGACAUAAAUUAAAUUUAUCAUAAGAUCAAUUGCGUUAGUUUAUUCAAAUUAUUUUGCUUGCAAUUUAACAUAGAAUAAAUGUUUUUGAUUUGAUAAAGUGUUGAUAGAUUUAUUAUAUAUAGUGCUUGAAUAUUUUUAUAUUCUAUAAUAGCAUAUUAAUUAUUAAUUUUUAUGUUUAUUUUAUGCACUUAUAUGAUUAACAAUGCGAAAGAUUCAGGAUACCUUCGGGACCCGUCUUGAAACACGGACCAAGGAGUCUAACAUAUUUGCAAGUUAUUGGGAAUAAAAACCUAAUAGCGAAAUUAACAUAACUUAAAUUAAAUGGGAUUAGUUUAUAGCCUUAUUAUAGUCUAUUAAUUCAAUCCCGGGGCGUUCUACCGUUAUGUAUAAUAAUAUUUAUAUUAUUUAUACCUCUAACUAGAGCGUACCUUGAGCAUAUAUGCUGUGACCCGAAAGAUGGUGAACUAUACUUGAUCAGGUUGAAGUCAGGGGAAACCCUGAUGGAAGACCGAAACAGUUCUGACGUGCAAAUCGAUUGUCAGAAUUGCAGGAUAGGGCG
rnacentral:rRNA from 1 species